GACAGAGGUCCCGAGCGUUAGGCGGAAUCACUGGGCUUAAAGCGUGUGUAGGCGGAUUUGUAAGUACCUUGUGAAAUCCCACAGCUUAACUGUGGAACUGCUUGGUAUACUGCUUAUCUUGGGCCACUUAGGGGUUACCGGAACAAACGGUGGAGCGGUGAAAUGCGUAGAUAUCGUUUGGAACGCCAAUGGUGAAAACAGGUAACUGGGAGUGUGCCGACGCUGAGACACGAAAGCCAGGGGAGCGAAACGGGG
rnacentral:rRNA from 1 species